rnacentral:piRNA from 1 species
UGGAAUGAGAAGCCGAGGCAGAGG